GUCCACGCCCUAAACCAUGAUUACUCGAUGUGUGCGAUACACUGUACGCGUCUGAGCGAAAGCAUUAAGUAAUCCACCUGGGAAGUACGACCGCAAGGUUGAAACUCAAAGGAAUUGACGGGGGCCCGCACAAGCGGAGGAGCAUGUGGUUUAAUUCGAUGCUACGCGAGGAACCUUACCUGGGCUUGAAAGUUAGUGAAUGACAUAGAAACAUGUCAGUCAGCAAAUGACACAAAACUAGGUGCUGCAUGGCUGUCGU
rnacentral:rRNA from 1 species